UCAGCCGAGCCCGCCGGCGUUCGUGUGCCUCUGCUCGCCGUCUUCCUUUAGUUAUCGUCCCUGUGGGACUCGCCGGGCGCGAGUGUGCACAAUAACCCCGUGUAGCGUUCCAGGCUUGGGGAAGAGUGGCUGGAAGGACCUGGAAAAGGACCGGGGGGUGCUGGUCACAGCGACUGCGCUGAGCCAGGUGUGCCCGGGAGGCCAAUGGCAUCCUGGCCUGGAGCAGCAAUAGCGUGGCCAGAGGAGCAGGGCAGGGAUUGUCCCUCGGUACUCGGCACUGAAAACCCCAGUUCCUGUGAAGCUGUGAAGACUGGGACUGCAGGGUCUCUCCUGUGUGGCCCUGGCUGCUGCCAAGCAGCAUUACUGGCUUGGGCAUUUGGUCAUUGUUGGUGUGGCAGUGGGAGAGCUGGAAGCCCGGCUGUGUGCUGGUGACGGACCGACUGCGCUGAGGUUCAGCCCCUGCCCAGUAACCCAGCACAGAAGAUGCAUUCCCUGCCUUCUGUUUUUCUUUUGUUCCAACUUUGUCAUCCUAAACUGGAUGAUGCCUGCAGCCAUCUGCUGCAUUUGGUCUGCUGCGGCAUCAUGCCGACUCAAUUAUGCACCGCUCUGGGAGAACAGCAGGCUGGUUUUCCCUUCAGCUUUGAAAGAGUGUUUUUCCCUUGCACAGGAAGGCUGAGGGAAGUAGGAGCCUCCAGAAGCAAGCUGGAUAAGCUGUUCCCAGCCAUGUCAGGUGGACUCUGUGUCUGUGCAGUCCAGGUGUGGUGGGAGAGCUGCCAGGCUGUCACCGUGCCCGAGAUGCUGCAUCCUGGGACUCAGAGCUCCGAUGCCGUGGCAGAUGUACUCCCUUGUGGCAGCACUUAACUGUUUGGCACUUUUAAGCUUUAUCACCUCAUUUACUUUUUGUGGAUAUAUAUUAAACCAAGGGUAUUUCUAUUAAACCAAAUGUUUUGGGAUGAUAUGAAAUAAAAAAGGAGAUGGUGCAAGUGUAAAUUACAUUUGCUUUUUUUCAAAACAGCCAGGAGGGGAGGGCUGCAAAGAAAUGAUGUUGAUCCUUACAGUGGACUUCUAGCAAAGUUGUUUUGUUAUGCUUUCAUACUCAGAGAGAAGUGACCAUGCAGGAUUUAUGUGUGUGAUUCAGCUUGUGACAUCAGUCUUCUUCCUGUGGUGGGCAGAGGAGA